UCACAUGCUGACCAUGCCCAUGCCCAGUUUAGCAAAAGGGGAAAAAGUCACAAUAGAUCACAUGACGCCACCAUGGCAACAUGUGUUUGAUACUCCUGUGAUAUAUUUUAGAGGGA